CUCGUUUUUUUCAUUAAAAAAACCAAUUCAUUUUCAAAUUUGAGCUGCAUAAAAGCCUAUUUUAACGCCAAACAAUAACAAUGACAUGAAUUUCAUAAAAAAGCCAAAUCAAAUCCAAUAAAAAGGAAAUAAAAAUUUAAAAAAAUAAAUUAUAAGAAGAGAAGGAAAUCAAGUGUAAAAAUAAAUGAAAAUUUUAUAUAUUUCUAAUAAAAUUCAAAAGUUAUAAACAACACAAACAGCAGCAAAAAAUAAUUUUGAUUGGCUUCCUGUUCAGGGAAAAGCAAACAUUUGGUUUUGGUUUAAAAUCAUCCACCAUAAUUCAUUCAUACACUCACUCAUCGGUUCCUUCAGCUUAAAAAGUAUUUUAAAUGUAGGAGCAAAUUGCAAACUGUCUUGGAACGCGUCAACUAACCAACUGAGUUCAGGCA